UACGUAGGGCGCAAGCGUUGUCCGGAAUUAUUGGGCGUAAAGAGCUCGUAGGCGGCUUGUCACGUCGGAUGUGAAAGCCCGGGGCUUAACCCCGGGUCUGCAUUCGAUACGGGCUAGCUAGAGUGUGGUAGGGGAGAUCGGAAUUCCUGGUGUAGCGGUGAAAUGCGUAGAUAUCGGAAGGAACACCAGUGGCGAAAGCGGCUUCCCUGGACCAGUACCGACGUUCAGGCACGAAAGCGUGGGGAGCAAACAGG
rnacentral:rRNA from 1 species